UACAGAGGGUGCGAGCGUUAAUCGGAAUUACUGGGCGUAAAGCGUGCGUAGACGGUUAUUUAAGUCGGGUGUGAAAGCCCCGGGCUCAACCUGGGAAUUGCAUUCGAGACUGAAUAGCUAGGGUACGGUAGAGGGAAGUGGAAUUUCCGGUGUAGCGGUGAAAUGCGUAGAUAUCGGAAGGAACAUCAGUGGCGAAAGCGGCAUCCUGGACCAACACUGACGCUGAGUGAGCGAAAGCCAGGGGAGCAAACGGG
rnacentral:rRNA from 1 species